CAGCAGCCGCGGUAAUUCCAGCUCCACGAGUGUAUAUUUAAGUUGUUGCAGUUAAAAAGCUCGUAGUUGAACUUCUGCGCGCAUCCGGGUGACGUUAGUUGCACGGGCGCGCGCAUCCGUCUGAAAAGUUAUCAGGAUCUUCAGUGGUUCGGUAAUCGAUCAGACAUUUUACUUUGAAAAAAUUAGAGUGUUCAAAGCAGGCUUUAGCCUGAAUACAUUAGCAUGGAAUAAUGGAAUAGGACGCUGUCCAUUUUGAUUGGUUAUUGGAUUGGCGUAAUGAUUAAUAGGGACAGUUGGGGGCAUUUGUAUUUAAUUGUCAGAGGUGAAAUUCUUGGAUUUAUUAAAGACAAACUUAUGCGAAAGCAUUUGCCAAGGAUGUUUUCAUUAAUCAAGAACGAAAGUUAGAGGAUCAAAGACGAUCAGAUACCGUCCUCGUUUUUAUAAACUAUGCCGACUCGGUCUCCGUCAAGCCUCUUUAACUUGAUGGGUGCCGUAUGAGAAAUCAAAGUCUUUGGGUUCCGGGGGGAGUAUGGUCGCAAGGUUGAAACUUAAAGGAAUAGACGGAACAUCACUACCAGGUGUGGAUCCUGCGGCUUAAUUUGACCCAACACGGGGAAACUUACCAGGUCCAGACAUAGUGAGGAUUGACAGAUUGAGAGCUCUUUCUUGAUUCUAUGGGUGGUGGUGCAUGGCCGUUCUUAGUUGGUGGAGUGAUUUGUCUGCUUAAUUGCGUUUAACGAACGAGACCUUAACCUGCUAAAUAGUACGUUGAUGUCCAAUCGGCGUUACUUCUUAGAGGGACUAUGCGUAUUGAGCGCAUGGAAGUUUGGAGCAUAACAGGUCUGUGGAUGCCCAAGGGCGAUUCGCCUGUGCAGCAGCCGCCGGUAAUCCAGCUCCAGAGCGUAUAUAAGUGUUGCAGUUAAAAGCUCGUAGUGGAUUCUGGUACAACGCGCUGGCCCGCUUUUGUGAGUGCCGGAGCACGUUUGCCAUCUUUCUAGAAAACGUUUCUACCCGGGCAACUGGGCCGGGACUCGCGAUCUAGCUCGUUUACUUUGAAAAAAUUAGAGUGUUUAAAGCAGGCUUUCGCUAUGAAUACAUUAGCAUGGAAUAAUGAUCUAGGACUUCGGUUCUAUUUUGUUGGUUUCUAGUACUGAAGUAAUGAUUGAUAGGGAUAGUUGGGGGUGCUAGUAUUGGCCGGCCAGAGGUGAAAUUCUUGGAUUCGGUCAAGACUA
rnacentral:rRNA from 1 species